ACUCAAGGUAUUGCUUGGGCUUUUGGUGGUAUGAUCUUUGCUCUUGUCUACUGCACUGCUGGCAUCUCAGGUAUUAAAAUUGCCUCCUUUUGUGGGUGUUUCGUGCUUUGCUUGCGUCUUUCAGUGUAAAGAUACCUUCUUUUUUCUUUUUUUCCUGUUAUUUUUCAUAUGGGUUUCAGUUUUAAUGGGUGUUUCUUGAUUUGCAUCAUAAAGUGUGAAUAACAAUCUUUUUUUUUCUUGUUUCUGGUCACUUUUCGUGUUGGUUUUGGUUUUUAUGCUUCUUCCUUGCUUAGAAUAUUAUUAGCAAGAACCACACUAACCAGAUCUACAUGUUUUUGGUAGGUGGACACAUCAACCCAGCAGUGACCUUUGGUCUCUUUCUUGCGAGGAAGCUCUCUCUGACAAGAGCUUUGUUCUAUAUGGUUAUGCAAUGUCUCGGUGCCAUCUGUGGUGCUGGCGUGGUGAAAGGUUUUGAGGGUGACCGUACGUAUGAAACCUUGGGUGGUGGAGCCAACGUUGUUAACGCUGGCUACACUAAGGGUGAUGGUCUUGGUGCUGAGAUUGUUGGUACCUUUGUUCUUGUUUACACCGUCUUCUCUGCUACUGAUGCUAAGAGGAAUGCCAGAGACUCCCAUGUCCCUGUAUGUAUUCUUUGCUUUACUCCUAUUUUGAGGUUCUUGACCUCAUUGUCUUCUUUGACUUGCAACUUUUGCUAUAUCUUCUGCUCUUAUAGACUUUAACAUCAUAUUCGUGUGUUAUAGCUAGAUUUUUGCAUAAAUUACCGGUGCUUGAGUUUAUAGAUUGCUCAUAAUUUAGCAUUUGGGCUCUAAGACCUUGUUUUCUGCUUGUGAUUUAGCAUUUUAGCAUUUCUUUUUGUAUUUCAUAUCCAUAAUUUUGCUGUUUAGAGAAAGAAUUUGGGUGAUAUUUUCUGGCAUGAUUUCUUUCUUUGGUUAUGUGGCUGUGUGGGUAAAGGCGACUCCCACCUUGAGUCCCUCGAUUGUCAUGAUUUGUGUUAAAAGUUCUUAGGUAGGUUUUGGUUAAACUUACAUGGGGUGAACCCAUGUGAUCCAUAAUUUUGCUGUUUAGAGAAAGAAUUUGGGUGAUAUUUUCUGGCAUGAUUUCUUUCUUUGGUUAUGUGGCUGUGUGGGUAAAGGCGACUCCCACCUUGAGUCCCUCGAUUGUCAUGAUUUGUGUUAAAAGUUCUUAGGUAGGUUUUGGUUAAACUUACAUGGGGUGAACCCAUGUGACUUGGUCCAUGAUGGAUCCGGUCCAGGCAAAGAAAAUCUACAGACCCAUGAGUCACGUGGUCUACUGAAGUCUUGUGCACUUGAUUAGGUAGAGAAUACCUUGAGUCCCUCGAUUGUCAUGAUUUGUGUUAAAAGUUCUUAGGUAGGUUUUGGUUAAACUUACAUGGGGUGAACCCAUGUGACUUGGUCCAUGAUGGAUCCGGUCCAGGCAAAGAAAAUCUACAGACCCAUGAGUCACGCGGUCUACUUAAGUCUUGUGCACUUGAUUAGGUAGAGAAUACCUUGAGUCCCUCGAUUGUCAUGAUUUGUGUUAAAAGUUCUUAGGUAGGUUUUGGUUAAACUUACAUGGGGUGAACCCAUGUGACUUGGUCCAUGAUGGAUCCGGUCCAGGCAAAGAAAAUCUACAGACCCAUGAGUCACGUGGUCUACUGAAGUCUUGUGCACUUGAUUAGGUAGAGAAUGAAUGAGUGUAUCAAGCUCAAAGUCAUUAAAUCUAUUUAUUUGUAUUAAAUUUUGUCAAAGGGUAAUGUCAUUGAUUGCAUCCAGUCAUGGAUCAUCUAUAUUGAGUGACAAAUAAUCUUGAGCUCAUCUGAUACAGAGGAUCCAUAAUGUGAAGGUUUUUCUUGCCUUUACCUUUGCUUCUCUCGCUCAAUCUUAGUUUCUGUCCAGAUCUCCGAUUUAAGUAAAAGGAAUUUUGUUGGUUCUACUCGAGCAUGUACGAAAUUUGGAAGCUAAGAUUUGUUUGCAAAACAUGGUAUUUUGCUCUAACUAAAAACUCUCCGAAACUGGUUGCAGAUU
rnacentral:lncRNA from 1 species